ensembl:lncRNA
AUUAAUACAUAUAUACAAACUGAAAUAAAAUCUUUACAGAGAUUUUAGCCUCAUGUCUGGUCCUCUAGCGCCACCCUGAGGACAAGCUGGGUCUGCUUGCAUGGAUUUACACUUUUCAUUUUGCAUUGUUCUUCAGCAGCAACACCACAAUUAAACUAUGUCUUUGUCAUUAUUCUAAAAGCCCAUCAUCACCCCCAAUAUCUCCCAAAGUAAGAGGGCAGUGAUCUUUGACCAUAAACGUGAUGAUGUGAAAUAUGAAACUGAUCUGAGAGUGAGAAGCAAGUUGGCCUUAAAAGCGCGACACAAUCAGUGUCAUCAGAGAUUAGAGUUUCAGGCACUGCAUAAUACCACAGGACUUACACAUAAGAAUUCCUGCAUGAGUAUUUCUGCAAAAAUGUCACUUCGGCAGAGCGUCUGAUAAACGGCAUGCUUGCAGAUUGAUUGAAAUCCCAGUUUUCUAUGUUUGAAACAAUCUUAACAAAGGAACCAAAUGAGUGCUAACAAAGCCAGACAGCGACAGACUGCAGCUUCUACAUCUUUGGAAACUUUAAAGAGCCGUAAUAGAAAAAUGUCUUUUAGCUGCGGAUGGUUUCAAGAGUUUAAAGCCUCUGAACAACCAAACAGGUGUUUUCAGCUGAUCUGAUUAGCGCUCACCUCAGAACUGUGAGAAAGUGCAAAGACUAAUUGAUUGACGUCUCCGCGAGUGAACUGUUAGCUUUCUUUCAUUUGUUAGGGCGGGACUAAUUGCACCCGUAUUCGUCUUAUUGGUGGAAAAAGAUUUGUGACUUAAUACCAAUACCAAUCAAUCAAAGCUUUGGCCGCCCUCAUAAAGAUUCUGUAAGAAGCCAAUAACUGUGUAUAUAAUACAAGAGAGGCUUUAGACUCUUAAAAGAUGACCUAGAAUGGCUGGACACAAAGACCGACAUUCAUUUAAGAGUGCCUGCGUUUUAACAUUCACAGUCCAUUUAUUGUACCUUUUGUGUUUGGCAGGAAGCGGAUCGAAUAACUAGUUUUGUGAGGCCCAAUUAUUCUGUUUAGGCAGAAGCAGGUCUUACUAAAAAUGGCGUCUGUGUCCCUGCAGCAGAGGACGCCACAGUCAGAUCCAGUGCGCUAUACUGCAGAAGUAAGAAGAAACAGAACAAUAAGAAUGGGCAGUUAUCCGUAGAGUAACUCUAAACUAGAAAAUGCAUUGGAAUGCUGAAAGAUUAAAGCUGAAAGCUAAAAGCUGAAAUGAAUUUGAAAAAAUUGCUGAAAAUACAGAAAUUGUGGUACUAGUUGUACUAGCAGUAGAAGAA